UGAAAACCAGGCCAAAUGAUCGUUAGCAUU
rnacentral:piRNA from 1 species